rnacentral:tRNA from 1 species
GGAGAGGUGUCCGAGUGGCCGAAGGAGCACGACUGGAAAUCGUGUGUACGCUAAUCCCGUACCGAGAGUUCGAAUCUCUCCCUCUCCGCCA